UUUAAAAGCGCCGGCAAGGGAAGAUUACCACUCUUCUUGCAGCUGCAUCAACUCACAAACGUGACUGUCUUUAUCCUCGUUUCCACAAGGAAGUUAACGCCAGUUUUCAUUAUGAAGUACACAAUUCUCGUGCUCGCUAUCUUCCUCGUCGCAGCUGCCCAAGCAGCCAAAUGGAGCGAUGUUCAAGAUGCAAACUGUAGGGCUUACUGUAAGGAUGAGUUUCCUGGUUGGGAAACCUGCUACCAAACCAAAUGCGUUGGACGCCAAUUAUGUUGCGAUGGUGUGAAGCCCGAUUCCUAUUUCUCACAGGAGCAAUGUUGUAAAUGGCUCGAGGCUUGGAAUUAAACGGCACUAGACUACAUUUUUUAAAUGUCAUCAGUAUUUAUUACUUAAUUAUAAAGCGCUUUUUAAAUA